rnacentral:misc_RNA from 1 species
GUUCCCAUGGGUUCCAAAAGCGCAGAUCAUAUCAGGAAGAAGAAGAAAAACAAACCAAAGAAAGAUUCAGAUGCUAAAAACGGCGACAAAAUCCACCAUGGAGGGGGCGGCGGAAGGAAGAUCAUUGCAGACCCUCGGUUUGCAUCGGUACACUCAGACCCUCGGUUUCAGAAAGUUCCAACGCAAAAGUCCAAGGUCGCAAUCGACUCUCGCUUCAACCGCAUCUUCACCGACAAAAAUUUUGCCUCGUCUUCUGCACUUUUGGACAAGCGGGGUAAGCCUAAGAAGCACAAGUCGGAAAGUUCUCUGCGCCAUUACUAUCGAAUCGAAGAAGAAGAAGAAAAAGAUAACGAUGAUGAAAGGGAAGAGACGGAGAAGGAAACGAAGAUAGUGAGUGAUGAAGAUGACGGUGGAGAGGAAGUUGGAGAAGAAAGUGAGAAAGAGGAAUUAGAGAAAUUGGAUCUCGUGGCAGAAGAAAGCGAUUCGAUUAGUCAAACGGAGGGGUCGGAGUCGGAGGGUGAGGCUGAGUCGACUACUGACGAGGAGGAUGAGGAGAUGUUGUAUGAGGAUGAUUUGCCUGAAGUGGAGGUGGAAAAUAUACCAUCAAUUGAAGAUGGAACCCGCAGACUUGCCGUUGUUAACAUGGACUGGAGACAUGUUAGGGCUGUUGACUUGUACGUAAUACUGUGCUCAUUUCUUCCAAAAGGAGGAGAAAUUUUGUCUGUGUCUGUCUAUCCAUCUGAAUUUGGUCUACAGCGUAUGAAAGAGGAAGAACUUCAUGGCCCUGUUGGCUUAUUUGAUGAUGAGAACAAGGAUGGUGAUGGUGGUGAUGAUGAUGAUGAGAUUGACGAAGAGAAGUUGCGUGCUUAUGAGAGAAGUAGGCUGAGGUACUACUAUGGUGUAGUGGAAUGUGAUUCUGUAUCAACAGCGGAACAACUAUACAAAGCUUGUGAUGGACUUGAGUUUGAACGAUCUUCUAAUGUUCUUGAUCUUAGAUUUGUUCCUGACUCUAUGGAAUUUAAACAUCCACCUCGUGAUGUUGCAACAGAGGCACCAGCUAGCUAUGAGGGAUUGGAUUUCCAUACCAAAGCACUGCAGCACAGUAGUGUUCCUAUUUCUUGGGAUGAAGAUGAACCACAGCGCGUUAAGACCUUGAAACGAAAAUUUAAUGCUGAUCAGCUGGCUGAAUUGGAGUUGAAGGAGUUUUUAGCUUCUGAUGAGAGUGAAAGCGAUGAGGAUGAAAAUGAUGCUGCCAUUGCAGAGGGUGAAUCAGAUAAAAAGCAUAAAAAACUGGAUAAGUAUCGCGCUUUAAUCCAGUCUGGUGAUGGUUCAGAUGUAGAGAAUGAGGAUGAAGGCCAGGAUAUGGAGAUUACUUUUAACACUGGCUUGGAGGAUAUCAGUAAGCACAUUCUGAAAAAAAGGGAUGAGAAAUCAGAAAGUGUUUGGGAAGCACAUCUCAGGGAAAAACGUGAGAAGAAGAAGGCCCGAAAGAAGAGAUCUAAGUAUUCAUCAGAGGACGAGAGUAGUGAUGCUGAUGAAGAAAUAGAAGAACCUGAUGAUUUCUUUGUUGAAGAACCAGCUGUUAAAAAAGGAAAGAAGGAUGCUCGAGCUAAGAGUGACAAAGAAGGAAAGCAACUCCAGUAUACAGAUAAGGAAGCAGAAGCAAGCAGAGCAGAGCUUGAGUUGUUACUUGCUGAUGAUAGUGGGGCUAAUAAUGGUGUAAAGGGCUAUAAUUUGAAACAUAAAACAGCAAAGGGUAAAAGAGAAAAAGAAGUUCCAGAUGAGAACAAACUACCAACUGUUGACUAUGAUGAUCCACGGUUUUCAGCUCUCUUUAAUUCACAUCUAUUCUCAUUGGAUCCUACAGAUCCACAGUUCAAAAGGAGUGCAGCUUACGCUAGGCAGAUGGCACGGAGGCAGCAAAAGGGUGAUCAGCUAGAAUUGGGAGAAGGAGAGCAUAAGAAACAGCCAACAAAAUCUCAGUUGCUAUCUGAUGAGCCAGUUGCAAACAAAAAUGAGCAGAGAAGUGCUGAUGUUUUACCAAUCAAAGAAAGAGAAGCACGAGAUAUCAUCAUUGGUAAAAUCCCUUAAGAUGAAGUCCAAGCAACUUCAGUUGCCCUCUAAUGGCAAUACAAGGAAGGAUGAAAAAUUACAACCUAGAGGUGCAAAAGAAAUGGAGAAGCCUGAGCUUGCAACCUUGGUUCAGUCGGUAAAGAAGAAGGCCAAAGCUGUGCAAAAAUGAAAAAUCCAUCUGUUUCCUCUCAUCUAAUUUUGCAUUAGGGAGCUGUGGAGGCAGAGGCUUUGGUAAAACAAUCCAGCUCCAUUCGGGGAUUUUACUGUAACAAAUUGAGUUGGUAAGGCUGUUAGUUUUCAGUGGGGGUUUGAGUUGAUAUUUGGUUGGUAGAGUUUAAUGGUUGGAGUUUUCUGACUUAGCAUUUUAGUUAGAAUUCGACUCAUUAAAAUCUUCUUUGUCGUGUAUUUGGAAUGAAAAAGCCAUUGACAUACACAAUGUCCAAACAGAAUUAUGGGAAGAAAUUUACUGAAAACUCGCCCCG